UACGUAGGGUGCGAGCGUUGUCCGGAAUUAUUGGGCGUAAAGGGCUCGUAGGCGGUUUGUCGCGUCGGGAGUGAAAACCAGGUGCUUAACACCUGGCUUGCUUUCGAUACGGGCAGACUAGAGGUAUUCAGGGGAGAACGGAAUUCCUGGUGUAGCGGUGAAAUGCGCAGAUAUCAGGAGGAACACCGGUGGCGAAGGCGAGUCCCUGGACAAACCCUGACACUGAGGCACGAAAGCCAAGGGAGCAAACAGG
rnacentral:rRNA from 1 species